CCUACGGGUGGCUGCAGUGGGGAAUUUUGCGCAAUGCUCGUAAGAGUGACGCAGCGACGCCGCGUGAAUGACGAAGGCCUUCGGGUCGUAAAGUUCUUUCGACAGGGAAGAAAAUGCCUAUAAGUAACUGUGUAUGUAUUUACGGUACCUGUAAAGCACCCCCAGCUAACUCCCUGCCAGCAGACGCGGUCAUACGGAGGGGGCGAGCGCUGUUCGGAUGGACUGGGCGUAAAGAGCACGUAGGCGGUGUUGUAAGUCAUUAGUCAAAGACUAGAGCUCAACGUUAGUAAGGUUAGUGAUACUAUAAUACUAGAGGAUCAGAGAGGAAUGCAGAAUUCGUGGUGUAGCGGUGAAAUGCGUAGAUAUCAGGAGGAAUACCGUUAGCGAAGGCGGCAAUCUGGCUGGAAACUGACGCUGAGGUGCGAAAGCGUGGGUAGCAAACAGGAUUAGAUACCCCUGUAGUC
rnacentral:rRNA from 1 species